AGUGAACGCUGGCGGUAGGCCUAACACAUGCAAGUCGAACGGCAGCACAGUAAGAGCUUGCUCUUACGGGUGGCGAGUGGCGGACGGGUGAGGAAUACAUCGGAAUCUACUUUUUCGUGGGGGAUAACGUAGGGAAACUUACGCUAAUACCGCAUACGACCUACGGGUGAAAGCAGGGGAUCUUCGGACCUUGCGCGAUUGAAUGAGCCGAUGUCGGAUUAGCUAGUUGGCGGGGUAAAGGCCCACCAAGGCGACGAUCCGUAGCUGGUCUGAGAGGAUGGUCAGCCACACUGGAACUGAGACACGGUCCAGACUCCUACGGGAGGCAGCAGUGGGGAAUAUUGGACAAUGGGCGCAAGCCUGAUCCAGCAAUACCGCGUGGGUGAAGAAGGCCUUCGGGUGGUAAAGCCCUUUUGUUGGGAAAGAAAAGCAGCAGGUUAAUACCCCGCGGUUCUGACGGUACCCAAAGAAUAAGCACCGGCUAACUUCGUG
rnacentral:rRNA from 1 species